UGCGCGGGGAAUUUGAUGUGCAGUCUGGCCUGCCCCCUGAAAUCUUUAAAGGGCCGCGGUAUUUGGACCGUGCUAAGGUAGCAUAAUAAAUAGUCUUUUAAUUGAAGUCUAGUAUGAAUGGUCGGACAUGAAGUAAGCUGUUUCAACUUUGACGCUUGAAUUUUACCUUUAAGUGAAAAGGCUUAAAUUGAAUGGUGGGACGAUAAGACCCUAUAAAGCUUUACAUUUUAUUUCUCAGUUGCGGGGUUUAUGGUUCCCUAUUCUUAUGGAGUAAAGUGUUUCGUUGGGGCGACGGAAAUAUAAAAAUAAGUAACUGUUUUUGCUUGAAAAAUACGUCUUUGUAGAUGACUUGAUCCUUCUUUGAAGAUUAAAAGAUUUAAGUUACUUUAGGGAUAACAGCGUAAUUUAUCUUGAGAGUUCAUAUCGACAGAUAUAGUUGCGACCUCGAUGUUGAAUUAAAGUAUCCUCCAGGUGUAGCAGUUUUGGUGGUGGGUCUGUUCGACCUUUAAAACUUUACAUGAUUUGAGUUCAGACCGGCGUA
rnacentral:rRNA from 1 species